rnacentral:lncRNA from 1 species
GUUCAUCAGGAAGGAAUUUGGUGAUCAAUGAUACAAUCAUUUUGGUUAAAUAAAUCCUACAAGCCACACUCUGGGGACUCUCCUGACACAGCCUAAAAAAUGAAUAACCUGUAAUGACAAUCACACAGCUCUCAUUCCUUCUACAUCAUACUUAUCUAAUGAAUUGGUGUCAAACACAGAAAAUUAUUAGAAGAAUUUCCUGAAGGGCUUUGUCACUUCAAAUCCAAACUUUGUCAAUUUCAUAGCUCCCCACGUGAGAAAUGACUUUUUUGAUAAAUGCUUAAUGUACACAUUACUCCAAGAACACUUAAGUUAGAAACAUGAGAUUACCAAAAAGCUUUAUGAAAGAAAUGCAGGCAUGUCUUUCUGCAUACCUAAAUGUUGCAUAGCCUAAAGCUAUUUUUAAUUUUUCAUUUGAUUUACUAAGCUUUUCCAACCUCAGCACAAUUUAUCACCUUACCUGUGUUUUCUAUCAUUCCUUCCCAACCAUAAGUUCUUGAGGAUAGGGGCUGUGUCUUCUACUCUGCAUUCCUUGUGCUCAGCACACGGCCUUGGGCACAAUGCACUUGCAAUUGUGCUCACAGACUAAAUUAAGUCAACUCCCCAGCUCCACUAUCCAAAUCAUCUUGUACCACAGUCUUCAUUCUCUUGGUAAGUGGCUACCUCUAUUCUAUUUGUUUUUCAUGCUCUUUUACAUCUCAUAUACAAUCCAUCAGUAAAUCUUGUUGGUUCUUGAAAAAUAUGUCUUUAGCACCUCCUCCUCUUUCUCCCCUUUAUUGUGUUUAGAUAAUUCUACUAUUUUCAUGUCCUUCUAGGAAAGGAUUAGGAAAGUAAAUGAAAAAUCAUAUAUUUUGCUACUUAUUUUUCAAGUCCCAUAAGCAUUUAUUGGAAGCUGUAGAGUAAGAAGGUUGAGAUUGUCAAUUAAGCUGAGUUGGGGGUUAUCUGCAGAUUUUUAAAUUCUUUAAUUUAAAAAAUAUUUAUUGACUACACCUUAUUUCAGACAUGGUUGUGGUGCUGAGUAAAGCAGUGCAUAAAACCAACACAGCCCCCACUGGCAUAAUCUUGCCUUGAGUUUGGAAAGAAAGACAACAAACCGAUAAGCAAAUUCAUGUAUGUGAUCAUGUCAGAUAACGAUGUACACUCCAAAGAAAGCCGGAGUGAGGUGAGGCACCUCAAACUUGGCAUUUCCAAAUCCCAACUCCUUAAGCCCACGCCAAAUCUGCUCAGACCACCAUCUUCACUCUUGGUAAGUGGCCACCUCCAUCAUCCCAUUUGCUCUUCACACUUGUGUGUCCCACAUAUGAUGCAUCAGUAAAUCGUGUUGGUUCUUAAAAAUAUGCCUAGGCUCCUGACACUUCUACUGCUACUGUGCUAAUCUGAGCCACUACCAGCUGUCCUCUGGGCCACCACAGGUAGCCUCAUAACUAGACCCCCUGCUUCUAAUCUUCCCUGCUCCCACAUAGACUAGUCUCCCCCCAACAUAGUCAGAAUGUUCCUUUUAAAAGUAAGUCAAAUCACAUAAUUCUUUGGCUUCAAACCCUCUACUGGUUUCUUGAAAGUAAAAGCCAAAGUCCUUAUCACAGCCUAUAAGUGACCUUUCUGACCUUUCUAACCAACUAACCUCUACUUCUCUCCCUCACUGGCUCUGUUUCAACCAUACUGGCCUCUGUGCCACUCUGCAAACAUGGCAGGUGCAUUCUAACCUUAAGACCUUUGCACUUGCCCUCCUCUGUCUUGGAUACUCCUCCCCUAUACAUCUCCAUGAAUCCCUACUUCAUCUCUUCAGGCCUGUGCUACAAACAGGCCAUCCUAUGUAAAAUUGCCAUUCCUAACACCAGUGGCAUAUUCCAUCAUAUUUCUUGGUUCUAGUUUCCUAUUUAGGCCGGAGGGGAUGGGAGGAAGAGGGAGUCUUAGUAGCACGAGAGAAGGACUCUGCAUGACCCAGUGAGAACAGUGAGCCAGCAACCAAGGGGCAUGAUGAAAUCAACCCCGUGUACCUGAUGUUCUCAAAAGAAAAAGGAUACAAGUGCUGGAAAAACAUAAAUGAUUUUCCAUAUCUACUUAAGAAAUAAUAUGCUAAAAUAGCCUUUAAAUAAAUACAGAAAAUUUACAUAUAAGAAAAUCUUCCCAAGUAGAGGAUGCUAAAUACAGGUAUGUAUCCUGUUUGGUAAAAUAAACACAUUCCUGAAAAGUGGAGUGUACAUUUAAUUCCUGAACAACAGAUGUCAUUUUGAAUUCAUUAUAGGGAUUUAUUAAUUAAAGAAAUCCUAUAAGAAUCCCAGUGUAAAGUGAAUCAUUGGUAUCCUCUUUAAUUUCAUGGAUAAAACUAUAUUUUCAUGUAUUUGCAUUGCAUAAAAUCAAGACAUUUAGGCCUUCGAAUUGGCUAGGAGGAGAGGUGGGUUUUCAGAAAGCUUUUGAGGACAAGAUUCAUAAAAUUUCCUACUGGAAGGAACAGACAAAUAUAAUCAGCUUUGUUUCUGGAGGUGGGAGGUUAGAAAUAGUAAGAUGUCCUGACUUGCACUGGUGCUGGUGGCUGUCAACUGGAUAUAAAGGAAUUCUUCUGGAUAUACCUACCUCCUCUCAUUUCCCUGCUGGCAGCUGGGAUAUUGCAAAAUUGAUCAAGUAGGUCUCAGAGCUACUGUCACUUUCUAUUCCAUUCUAAGAGAAUCAUGAUUUAGGUCUUAAUUAAAAACAAAUCCAAGCAAAAAUCUCAUUUUACCUUUUUUUUUUUUUUCUGGCUUAUAAUCUGUGGUAUAUUGACCUCCAGAAAAAGAGCUAGUCGUCUUUUUGAAAGGCUUUCUUUUGUUUUCCUUUGAAGUAAAACUUUAAAGAAAAUUUGUGAUCACUUAGCAUAAUUUCUCUCAAAUUUUAAGGCUGUGAAAAGCAGUGCCUUGAAGGAAAGAAACAGAUGGUCAAAGAGAGGUUUCGUCAAUCACAGCUCCCCUCCCCACUCCUGAAAAGACGAAGCCAUCAUUAAUUUCCAAAUAAUAGUAAAUCCUAGCAGGGGAUGAUGCCAACCGUCUGCAUAACCCGUGCCAGGCACUGGUGCUGUUUUGGCUUUAAAAGAAGGGGGAUGGCCAUGGUUCUUGAAAGAUUUCACCAAAACAUUCGCAGCAAACAUUAUCAAUGGAAGGAGUGAAAGCCGUGGACCAUUCAUAAGAGGUGUUCCAGCCCUCACACACAAGAGAAAACCAGAAACCACUGAGAUAAACACAAAUUCCUAAGAAGGCUGGGCUUGUGGCAGAGUUGUCUGUAUACAUGUGGGAACCAGGCUGGGGGAUAGGACAAAAUUAACGGGGUGAAGGGGCUAUGGCACCAAGGAGCUUGCCUGCCUAUGUGAAUGCACUCAGUUUAAAACAAUAAAACCAAAACAAAACCAAGGAAAAAAAAAAAGCUUGGGGUUAAGAACUAUAACAAGUGGUAAGCUGAUAAAUUUGGAAAAUUUUGUAGGAGAGAAGCCCCGAUUUGUAGCAUUUGCUUAUUUCCAUGGUGUAAAUAUUCCCAUCAUGGCCAAUUUUAAGCUAUUAAUAGUUUAACAACAGGUCAAAUCCUGGAACAUUCAAUUAAUCAGCUCUCUCAAGCCCAUACAAGACAUCUCCAGAGGACCACUGACCCUAGUUCUCUGCCGUCAAUGUAUUUCCCAGUCUUAUCUUCCCUAUUCUUGAAAUAAAAAUUACAAAUUAAAAAAAGAUAGGCCCGGCACGGUGGCUCACGCCUGUAACCCCAGCACUUUGGGAGGCCGAGGCGGGCAGAUCACGAGGUCACAAGAUCGAGACCAUCCUGGCUAACACAAUGAAACUCUGUCUCUACUAAAAAUACAAAAACAAAAUUAGCUGGGUGUGGUGGUGGGUGCCUGUAGUCCCAGCUACUCGGGAGGCUGAGGCGAGAGAAUGGUGUGAACCCGGGAGGCGGAACUUGCAGUGAGUCGAGAUUGUGCCACUGCACUCCAGCCUGGGCGACAGAGCAAGACUACAUCUCAAAAAUAAAAUAAAAAUAAAUAAACAAAUAGAGAUAGGUUUGAAUUGUGGACAAAUAGUUGAACACUGUGAUUCAAAUCCAAAGACUUCUCUGCAAUUUGGGUGUAUGAGUGCCUUCAGUGAGUGCACACUUAGAAUAGAACACCAUAAAACAGGGGUUCUCAAAGUGUUACAUGGGAACUCCUGUGUGUCUCCCAAAUCUUCCAUCUAAGAGGUAAAGACUAUUUUUAUAAUAAUUAUAAUAAUCUAUAAUUUUAAGAGAUUAAUUGUCUUUUUACUCUUAUUCUCCAAUGAGUGUACAGUGGAGUUUUCCAGAGGCUACAUUGACAUAUGAACAGUGUGAUAUUGUCACAGAUUAAUUGUAGGAGCAGAUUUAAGAUUCUACGUGUCUCUUAUGAAGCCUCACAUUAAAGAGAUUUGCAGAAAUAUACCAUAAUGACAUUCUUCUCAAUAUUUUGUUUAGUAUAAUAAUUUUUAUAAGUAUGCUAUUUAUGUUAACAUAAAAUGGG